rnacentral:rRNA from 1 species
UACGGGGGGAGCAAGCGUUGUUCGGAUUUACUGGGCGUAAAGGGCGCGUAGGCGGCGCAACAAGUCACUUGUGAAAUCUCCGGGCUUAACCCGGAGCGGUCAAGUGAUACUGUCGUGCUAGAGUGCGGAAGGGGCUACUGGAAUUCUCGGUGUAGCGGUGAAAUGCGUAGAUAUCGAGAGGAACACCUGCGGCGAAGGCGGCUCACUGGACUGGUGAUUGACGCUGAGGUGCGAAAGCGUGGGGAGCAAACAGG